AUGUAAUACAAUUCCUACAACGUUAAUGCACCAGAUCCCACUAGGACUCUGCAGUUGAGCAUGCUUGGGCUAGAGUAGUAUUGGGAUGGGUGACCUCCUGGGAAGUCUUGGUGUUUUACAUU
rnacentral:rRNA from 1 species